UACGUAGGGUGCGAGCGUUAAUCGGAAUUACUGGGCGUAAAGCGUGCGCAGGCGGUUUGGUAAGACAGAUGUGAAAUCCCCGGGCUUAACCUGGGAAUUGCAUUUGUGACUGCCCGGCUAGAGUGUGUCAGAGGGGGGUAGAAUUCCACGUGUAGCAGUGAAAUGCGUAGAUAUGUGGAGGAACACCGGUGGCGAAGGCGGCAUCCUGGACCGGCAUUGACGCUGAGUGAGCGAAAGCCAGGGGAGCAAACGGG
rnacentral:rRNA from 1 species